rnacentral:rRNA from 1 species
UACGAAGGGGGCGAGCGUUGUUCGGAAUUACUGGGCGUAAAGGGCGCGCAGGCGGCCUCAGGAGUCAGAUGUGAAAGCCCCGGGCUCAACCUGGGAAUGGCAUUUGAUACUCUGAGGCUGGAGUACGGGAGAGGAGAGUGGAAUUCCCAGUGUAGAGGUGAAAUUCGUAGAUAUUGGGAAGAACACCGGUGGCGAAGGCGGCUACUCUGGACCGUAACUGACGCUGAGGCGCGGAAAGCGUGGGGAGCAACAGGG